rnacentral:rRNA from 1 species
CCGAAUUAGUCACUUUGCUGGGUGGAUUAGUGGCGAACGGGUGAGUAACACGUGAGUAACCUGCCCUUAACUCUGGGAUAAGCCUGGGAAACUGGGUCUAAUACCGGAUAGGAGCGUCCACCGCAUGGUGGGUGUUGGAAAGAUUUAUCGGUUUUGGAUGGACUCGCGGCCUAUCAGCUUGUUGGUGAGGUAAUGGCUCACCAAGGCGACGACGGGUAGCCGGCCUGAGAGGGUGACCGGCCACACUGGGACUGAGACACGGCCCAGACUCCUACGGGAGGCAGCAGUGGGGAAUAUUGCACAAUGGGCGCAAGCCUGAUGCAGCGACGCCGCGUGAGGGAUGACGGCCUUCGGGUUGUAAACCUCUUUCAGUAGGGAAGAAGCGAAAGUGACGGUACCUGCAGAAGAAGCACCGGCUAACUACGUGCCAGCAGCCGCGGUAAUACGUAGGGUGCGAGCGUUAUCCGGAAUUAUUGGGCGUAAAGAGCUCGUAGGCGGUUUGUCGCGUCUGUCGUGAAAGUCCGGGGCUUAACCCCGGAUCUGCGGUGGGUACGGGCAGACUAGAGUGCAGUAGGGGAGACUGGAAUUCCUGGUGUAGCGGUGGAAUGCGCAGAUAUCAGGAGGAACACCGAUGGCGAAGGCAGGUCUCUGGGCUGUAACUGACGCUGAGGAGCGAAAGCAUGGGGAGCGAACAGGAUUAGAUACCCUGGUAGUCCAUGCCGUAAACGUUGGGCACUAGGUGUGGGGACCAUUCCACGGUUUCCGCGCCGCAGCUAACGCAUUAAGUGCCCCGCCUGGGGAGUACGGCCGCAAGGCUAAAACUCAAAGGAAUUGACGGGGGCCCGCACAAGCGGCGGAGCAUGCGGAUUAAUUCGAUGCAACGCGAAGAACCUUACCAAGGCUUGACAUGUUCUCGAUCGCCGUAGAGAUACGGUUUCCCCUUUGGGGCGGGUUCACAGGUGGUGCAUGGUUGUCGUCAGCUCGUGUCGUGAGAUGUUGGGUUAAGUCCCGCAACGAGCGCAACCCUCGUUCCAUGUUGCCAGCACGUCGUGGUGGGGACUCAUGGGAGACUGCCGGGGUCAACUCGGAGGAAGGUGAGGACGACGUCAAAUCAUCAUGCCCCUUAUGUCUUGGGCUUCACGCAUGCUACAAUGGCCGGUACAAUGGGUUGCGAUACUGUGAGGUGGAGCUAAUCCCAAAAAGCCGGUCUCAGUUCGGAUUGGGGUCUGCAACUCGACCCCAUGAAGUCGGAGUCGCUAGUAAUCGCAGAUCAGCAAGCGUUGGCGGAUGACCCCUC